UUAGAUUACGAGAAUCUUUCCAUAACAUUUUCUGGAGCAAACUUUGAUUGGAUUGGAAAGUGUCCUACUCAACCUGGAAAAGUGGAAUGUGGAUAUUAUGUAAUGAAGUUCAUGAAAGCAAUCAUUGAGGAUCCAACCAUAUUAACAAGAAGCAAGUUCAACAACCAAAGUUACAAUCAAGAAGAGAUAGAUGAUGUUCGAGUAGAGUGGGCUGACCUUGUUGAAACAUUACUCCAAGAUGAUGUAGAAUAGUUU